UGUGGGUUGGCUCAGUGGUUAGAGCUUAGGUCUUGUGACCGGCAGGUCCCGGGAUCGAAUCCUACCAGAGGCAUAA
rnacentral:tRNA from 1 species